UUAUAAAUCACUCAAAUUGGUUAGGAGGUCGAUGAAGUGAGGACAAUCGAGCAGUUCCAAGAACUCAUGGAGCACUUUGACACAAAUAGAAAUCAAGGUUUGACUCUGCAAUAUGAAUUUCCUUUUGCAUUGGAUUUUGAUAAUUUAGAGAAAAAAAUAGAGAAAGAGUAGGAGAACCUAAGAUAAGUGUUGAUGCAUUUUUUGAUGCACACAAGGUGGUCUAGUGUCAAUAUAUGUAAAUUUAGCAGUUGACAUCACAGGGAUUCGAUAUGAUUCUAGGUUUAUUCCUCGUACUUGAGAGAUUGAUAGAUAGAGCUCACCCUUAUGUGCAUAUGGUUUUAGUUGUUGGAGUUGCUCAAGACUUACGUUGUUGGAUUUCUCAAAUUAAGUUUUGUGCAAAAUAUGGUUUUCUCAAUUCUGCCCACCAAGUGUUUGCUAAACUGUGUGCGCAAGGUGUGUUCUCUUUGACUGCCAUAACUAUAGGAUUUGAUAGCUCUCGAUUAAAGGAGAAUCUUAUUUUCAGCAGCUUCUUGUGGAAUCAAUAACCUCAUGGGUUUUUUCAAUUUGGUGCAGAUCAAGAUUGCCACUGUGGCGUAAGCUGGGUGUGCGGCCUACCAAGCCUAAAAUGUCGUCAGAUGCUGCAUUAAAAUUAGUGGCAUAUCAGGCCUGUUUUUGACAGUCUAUUAGAUUUAGUAGACUAUUGGGUAAAUAUUUAAAGAGCCCCAUGUUUCCUAAAUUCAUGGCAAGUUUCAGUCAUAUUAUUCUAGUGUAAGUAGAUUUUUUUCUUCCUUCCCACCCUUUCUCGUUUAGCAGUAUAAACAUUUGAAGUUGAUCCUUUUACUUGCAUGCUUUCAUAAUUUUACGAUUGUACAAGUCUCAACAAUAUUAAUAUUUUGGUAGUAAUUCGUCAAAUCCAAUGGUUGGUGUUGCACAUCACGUGUUGUUUAUGCGACCCUAUGGUCUGUCUGAUAUUAUUGUUGUUUUACUAGCAAAUUCAUUGAGUCUCUUCCCAUUCAUUGAUGAAAUAUUAAAAAUGCAUAAUUUCAAAGGUGUAAACUAUUAUGGCAAGGGCGGGAAAUUUAAUCAGAAUGUUGUAAAGGGCCAGACUUCCAACUCGAGCAAGUCUGGUGCCUCCAAAUAUGAUCAACAAAAUAAGAAGUUUAAGCAAGGUCAUCAGUGAUAUUGCAUUGAUUACUAUAUUCAUUUAGUAAUUUUCUUAUGUACUUUGAGUAUGUGAAAGAUUGAAAUGUAACUAGAGUUUUUUUUUGUUACGCCUUGCAUAUACAAUUGUGUCGA